rnacentral:lncRNA from 1 species
AUGUAUUUCAUUAUUCAUUUUUCUUACAACUUGUGUUUUUCUGGACAAAUCCGAGUGAUCUGCCAAGCUAAGAGUCACAUGAACGCGCGCUGCACAGACCAACGGCCAAGGUCGGCCGUUUUGCUGUUGUGGGAGGAGCAUCAGUUGAGGCACGUAGGAUGCUGUCUAACCAAUGAGCCGGCCUCUCAGAUGAAUUGGGCAGCAGGAGACUGAAAGAUGAGGUUGACAAAAAAAAAAAACCUCAAUUUAGAGGCACCAGGUGUGCAUGUUUGGUAAGUCAGAGUCCACUUGGGUCCUUUGAUCCUAAAUUCAGUUUUAUCAAAUUUAAGUCCAUAAAAAGUCAUCUGUAUCUUAAAUGGAAUGAGAAAAGCCUUAAUUAUCUUUUCAAGAGGUCUUAACUUUGGGGGCAGAAAAAUAAAAUGCAAAAUGGCUUAAUAUGAUUAUUAAAGGGAUGGUUCACCCACAGAGAACUCUCAGAAUGCAUCAAAAAUAUCUUAAUUUGUGUUCCAAAGAUGAACGGAGGUCUUACAGGUUUAGAACGAUAUGAGGGUGAGUAAUUAAUGACAGAAUUGUCAUUUCUGGGUGAACUAUCCCUUUAAUUUAAUCAGUCAGUUUAAUAUUUUAAUUUUAAUUUAAUUAAAAUGUAACAAUUCGUUUUAUUUUUGGCAAACUAAAGUGGUGCAAAAAAGAGGUUUUACUCUGUGUAGUAAACGCCGCUCCACCUGAACCAGUGUUGCCAAGUCUGCGGUGUUUUUCAUGUCAGCGGGUUGAAGCGACCCCUAUACCAAUAACAUGAUAUUUAGCCCCUAAAAUGUGAAUUUUACCAAGGCAACCCUGCCAAAAAUUAUAUUUUAAAUUAUAUUUUAACCCCGGGAUGCAAUUUGUAUCGGGGAACCUCCUGGAAACGCGACUGGGCUAGUUUUGGACUAGUUUUGAGAAGCAACUGGGCAGGAUUUGUUGUGAAAACCUGGCAAUCCUGAUCUUAACGCACGUGCUGGAGAUAUACUACUAAUUACAGGAGCGUCUUUACUGAUGAGAUGCACAUGAAAAUCGCGUUCGAUUUUUUUGCACAGCCCUAAUAACUAUAUCUGAAAUAAAAAUGAAUACUUUAUAGAAAUAUUGAAAAAAAUACUAAUGAAACUAAAAAAACUAAAUAUGACACAUUUGUUGUACACACACACACACACAUAUAUAUAUAUAUAUAUAUAUAUAUAUAUAUAUAUAUUUAACCAAUGGCUAUGUUUUUCACCCUUCAUUUUUGCCUUUUCGUAGGCCCAUCAGAGGGAUAUUUCGACAGGUGUUGCAUACUCUUCAUUUUUACUUGUUUUUUAAAACUAGGUCAGAGGGUGGGUUUCACUUUCAAGACAUUGUUUAUUGUAAAAUGACUGUAAUACCGGCUGAACAAGUGUCCAAAGUGAAAGAACUCUGUCUGGAGAUCUGGGGUUUCAUACUCAUUGCCUUUCACUCCCUCUAAAGGAUUUGCCCGAGUUAGAAGAACCAAAGUGGAUUCUUCACUUCGAAGAUGCCAGACGUGUUAUGUUCAUUUAAAUUUUAGGAGUUAUUUAUUUUUUUGUAAUUUAUUUAUUUAUUUUUGACAUUUAUUUGUAACCUAUUCAUGUUUUGUGCAAAUA